AGUGAACGCUGGCGGCAGGCCUAACACAUGCCAGUCGAACGGCAAGACAGUAAGAGUGUGCUCUUACCGUUGGCGAGUGGCGGACGAGUGAGGAACACGUCGGAUUCUACUUUUUCGGGGGGGAUAACGUGGAGAAACUUCCGCUAACAGCGAAUACUUGGAACGGGUUGGAGCUGGGGAUAUUGGUGGUUUUGGUGACUCUAUGAGCCGAUCCCGGGUCGUAUUGGCGGGGUGGUAAGGUAACGGCAUACCAAGGCACCGAUCCGUAGCUGAUCUGAGAGGGUGAUCAGCCACACUGGAACUGAGACACGGUCCAGACUCCUACGGGAGGCAGCAGUGGGGAAUAUUGGGCAAUGGGCGCAAGCCUGAUCCAGCAAUGCCGCGUGGGUGAAGAAGGCUUUCGGGUCGUAAAGCCCUGUUAUUGGGGAAGAACAGCCGCAGGUUAAUACGCCGCUGUUCUGACGGUACCCAAAGAAUAAGCAACGGCUAACUUCGUG
rnacentral:rRNA from 1 species